rnacentral:rRNA from 1 species
GAGUUUGAUCCUGGCUCAGGAUCAACGCUGGCGGCGUGCCUAACACAUGCAAGUCGAGCGAAGCGGCUGAGAUGAAGUCUUCGGAUGAAGUGUUCAGUGACUGAGCGGCGGACGGGUGAGUAACGCGUGGGUAACCUGCCCAAUACCGGGGGAUAACAGCUGGAAACGGCUGCUAAUACCGCAUAAGCGCACAGAGCUGCAUGGCUCGGUGUGAAAAACUCCGGUGGUAUGGGAUGGGCCCGCGUCUGAUUAGGCAGUUGGCGGGGUAACGGCCCACCAAACCGACGAUCAGUAGCCGGCCUGAGAGGGCGACCGGCCACAUUGGGACUGAGACACGGCCCAAACUCCUACGGGAGGCAGCAGUGGGGAAUAUUGCACAAUGGGGGAAACCCUGAUGCAGCGACGCCGCGUGAGCGAAGAAGUAUUUCGGUAUGUAAAGCUCUAUCAGCAGGGAAGAUAAUGACGGUACCUGACUAAGAAGCCCCGGCUAACUACGUGCCAGCAGCCGCGGUAAUACGUAGGGGGCAAGCGUUAUCCGGAUUUACUGGGUGUAAAGGGAGCGUAGACGGCAAGGCAAGUCUGAUGUGAAAACCCAGGGCUUAACCCUGGGACUGCAUUGGAAACUGUCUGGCUCGAGUGCCGGAGAGGUAAGCGGAAUUCCUAGUGUAGCGGUGAAAUGCGUAGAUAUUAGGAAGAACACCAGUGGCGAAGGCGGCUUACUGGGCGGUAACUGACGUUGAGGCUCGAAAGCGUGGGAAGCAAACAGGAUUAGAUACCCUGGUAGUCCACGCCGUAAACGAUGAAUGCUAGGUGUUGGGGAGCAAAGCUCUUCGGUGCCGCCGCAAACGCAUUAAGCAUUCCACCUGGGGAGUACGUUCGCAAGAAUGAAACUCAAAGGAAUUGACGG